AAGUUUACUGAAUCAGAUUACGGAUAAAACAUGGAGGAAAGUGGGUCAGAAAAGUCAACCAGAGAAAAGAAAGACAUAUCCUUUGAAGAUGCUGACAUUCCUUUUGAAGAAGAAAUACUACGUCAUCCUUACAGUGUAAAGUGCUGGAUAAAGUACAUUGAACACAAAUAGAUUAAGAGUGACCACGCCCACUCAUCAGCAGUCAACCUAAUAUAUGAGAGAGCACUAAGAGUAUUACCAGGAAGUUACAAGUUGUGGUAUUAUUAUUUGAAGAUACG